CUCUCAGGUGUGUGAAGUCGACCUGUCGGAGUUUCCGUCUGUGUUUGUUGAUCUGUGAACUCAGGGCAGCAGAAAUCAAACGUCUCUAAAUGAUCCCUGUUUAUAAAUAAAGGUUGAAUUUGAAUCAGCGCCGCCGCCGUCGUCUCCUCUCAGCUGUACUUUCCCUCUGUUGCCUUUUAAGUGACAAAUGCUAACGCUAGUGGCUAAUUAGUGACUCCUGAGGCCUCUCCGUGUGGCCCCGCGUAAGCUAAGUGUAAAGUCAUCUGCACUUCAACAGGAAGCAACCAUCACAAGCUAACAGCUAUCAGCUAGCCUGUAAUUAUGAACGCCACCCGAGCUUCACCCUCAACAACUUAUCAUGUUGUUUAGCCAUUAGCAUGAGCUAGCACGCCGCCCUAGCUUGGCGCGGAGCUCGCCCUGGCAUUUCAAAGCGGUAAUUAUCACAAACUGGUUGGCAAAUGCUACUUAGCCCGGUUCAGGGGUCAGAGGAAUUAUGGGAGAUUGAGUCCUGGGAGUCAGGCGGGGGCGUGGCCGGUUAGCCGGCGAGUGUUUUGUUUUGGAUAAUGAUAGAGUUUAUCGGCAGGUCGCUCCACCGCACUCUCACCUGUGAACACACACACUCACACACGUCUCCUCUUACCUUCACUGCUCCUUUCCUUCCUUCAUCGCUUCCUCAGCUCCUCAUCCUCCUCCUCCUCCUCUCCCUCCUUUCCUUGUUUCCUCCUUUAACGACAAACAUUUCCAGUAAACAUAAUAACAGAGGGCAUCGACCUGUUGCUAGGCAACAAUUACAGCAACGACAGAGAAGCAGGGUGAUUACUGAGUGUGUGUUCAUGCGUGUGUUAAUGUGUGUGUGUGUGUGUGUGUGUGUGUGUGUGUGUGUGUGUGUGUGGUAAAAGCAGCAAACAAACAAACAAAGAAGAAACUCACCUCCUCUUCCUCCUCUUCCUCCUCUUCCUCCUCUUCUUCAUGCAGACUUCAUCUUUAAGUCCUUUUGGUUCCUGGUCCAAGUUCCCAAACUUUCCAUGAGUCCAGGAAAUAGUCAGUACCGACUCUGAAAGUAUCCGCAGCAGUUUUAAACAAAGGGUUCAUGUUUGACUUAAAAAAAGAUAAAAGGUUUUAAUUUUUACUUUAACAGAUUAAAAAAACUCUCAUUAGAUUUUGUGUUUGUUUUGGUUUUAGACAGAAAAUGAUCCUCCUCUAGUUUUCAUUUCUGAGCCUCUUUUCCCUCCAACAAAUUGAGUCUUACUUCCUUGUUGUGAUGCAUUUCCUGUCCAGACAGGAUGUUGGAGAAUCAAACUUUAUUUUGAAAACUUUUUAAGUCAGUCAUUAACUACAGAUUUCACAAUAUUGAGAAAUCUGAAGCAAAAAGAAAAGGUUGUAAAGUAUGAUAAAAAAUAGAUAAAAAAAUAAAAAUAAAAAAUACAACAAAACUUUAUAAGAAAAGUUAAAAUUAACAUUGGAACUCUGACUUUUUUAUUUAUUUUUAAUUUGACAGUUUUCACAAAAUAUAAAAAUAAAAUCAUUUUAUGAAACACAGACAUUUAAUUAAUAAAAUAAAUUCUCUCCAGACACAAAAAUACUCACACAGACAUUUAGCCAGAAAUAUUUUACAUAAAGCUGAAACAGCAAUAAAAAAUAUUUCAAAAUAUAAUAGGCAAAGAAUUUUAGGCAAAUUAAAAAAAAAAUUAGAACCUGAAACCUUAAAAUAACUAUAAAAGCAACUUAAGCAGAGCACAAAAACAAAAAAAUACAACAUUAAAAAAUUAAAUGAAAACUUAUUUGACAAAAUUUUAAAAACUACAUCAGUCAGAAAUUUUCAACAAAAUUGAAGAAAAUCACAAAAACCAAAAAAACCAACAAAAUGCCAAAAAUACGAAAAAAUAAAAAUAAUUCAAAAGGCCAAAAAACAUUUUUACAAAGUUUAAGAAAUAACAUGGAAUCUUAAACUUUUUAAUUCUGAAAUUGUGCUUAAAAUAAUAAAAAUGUAAAAAUAUCAGAACGAUAUAAAAAUUUUCUAUAUUUAAAAAAUUUAAAAUGAAAAGAUAAUUAUAUUAAAAUUAAACACUUAAAAUAAUUAUCAUAUUUUUUCUCCAAAUGUAACAAAAAUUAAAAAAAUGCAACACAUAAAUAACCCACAAAAAAUUCCCAGAAAAUACAAAAUAUUUACAAUUAAAAGAAAAAAAAAAUGAAAUUAUGAAACUGAAAAUUAUUUAAAAUUGUUGAUUUUCAGGAAAUGGAAAUAAUCAAAAAAACAAAAAGGUAAUCACGGCAUCUGGUUAGACUGCUGCUGAUGGCAGAGGUCAAAGGUCAGAGAGGCGGCUUCUUAGCUUACACAGGCCACACACACGUGCGCGCGCACACACACACAGUAUAUAUAGUAGCUUUACUCUUUUUUACUGAGACUUUGGGCAAGGGGUUAGGGUUAGUCAUCAGUGAGAUUUUAAAGGAUCACUGAACGACGUGCUCUCACACUUACACUUCACACACACACACACACACACACUUCCUGCUGAUGAAGACUGGAGCUGUCAGCACACACACACACACACACACACACACACACACACACAUUCCUUCAGCUGCUGGUGGAUUGAGUGGAAGCGUCUUGGCUCACAGAUGGCUCAUCUCAACUCAACAUGUUUUUUCUCCUGAACUUUAUUAGUCUGAGGAUUGACGACACUCUCGGGUUUCGGCCGUUCGUCACCUGAUUUAUGAAUCGAUUUGUUUGUCGCCAUUUUAACUCGAGAGGAAAUUAAACUUCAGAGGCUUCAGCAGGAAAAUACAACCGUAAAGUUUAUUUGGUUUUGUCUCGAAUUUAAAAAAAUGUCAGUAUGAUGAAAACUUUUUAAUACAACCCUCAUAUUAUUGUUCUCCAGUCCGUCUUUUUGGAAAUCAUGGACAGUGAUCCUUUUUAAAAACCAAGGGCACAAAAUUCUCUUGAGAAAUCAUGAUUGUGAAAAAAGAAAGUACGGAUGCUUUUCCAUUUCUUCAUCAUAAACACUUUACAUCCUUUUUGGAAAUCGUGGACGCUGCAACGUUGGUUUUUACCUGCUGUCUCAUAAAAAUAAUAAAAACAUAAAAAUAAAAAUGUUGUAAAUUAAACAGUCAUUUCCUUUAACUAUACAGUCGAUAUACAGAUGUUUUAUCAAACUUUUUAUUUUUUAUUUUUAUUUAAGCAUUUCUUUAAUUUUGCACCACAGUUCACAUUGACACACCCACACAAACGUCGCAAAAACAGAACAAGAACAGAGCGGAAUACACACAACAAACCAACAUCAAAACUAAACAAAUACAAACGUUAAAGAAACAAACAUUGAAGCAAACAAACACUGCCAACCACCAAAAAGAAAACAAAUGAAUAAAUAAAUGAAUUAAAAAAAAAAGGUAUGGGGUGAUAAAUUCAUCAUGCUAAAAAAAAAUAAAAAUAAAAUAAGAAUUAAAAUAAUAAAAAUAAAAAAUAAAAUGAAAAAAAAAAAACUCUGAACAACAUAUCAAACCAAAACAUCAGACUUUUUUUUAAAUUCUGAAACUCCUUAAAUUAUCCUAAAAAUCUGAACUCUCCUCUUUUAUGGACAUUGAACGCAGCACAAGGUAAUGUAAGACUACAGAUCGAGUGAAUCUGGUUCAGCCCAUAUGUAUUUGUGAUGUGGUCAGACACACACACACACUUACACACACACGUGCGCACACAGAGGCGUUGGAGUU